GACGAACGCUGGCGGCGUGCCUAAUACAUGCAAGUCGAACGAGAGCAACCGGUGCUUGCACUGGUCAAUCUAGUGGCGAACGGGUGAGUAACACGUGGGUAACCUGCCCAUCAGAGGGGGAUAACAUCCGGAAACGGAUGCUAAAACCGCAUAGGUCUUCGAACCGCAUGGUUUGAAGAGGAAAAGAGGCGCAAGCUUCUGCUGAUGGAUGGACCCGCGGUGCAUUAGCUAGUCGCUGAGGUAACGGCUCACCAAGGCCGUGAUGCAUAGCCGACCUGAGAGGGUGAUCGGCCACAUUGGGACUGAGACACGGCCCAAACUCCUACGGGAGGCAGCAGUAGGGAAUCUUCCGCAAUGGACGCAAGUCUGACGGAGCAACGCCGCGUGAGUGAAGAAGGUUUUCGGAUCGUAAAACUCUGUUGUUAGAGAAGAACAAGUGCUAGAGUAACUGUUAGCGCCUUGACGGUAUCUAACCAGAAAGCCACGGCUAACUACGUG
rnacentral:rRNA from 1 species